UCGGACGUGGUGCACGGGCCACUCCUGCCCAGAAUAUAUAUGAAGCUAAAAAAACUACUGUAAGCAGGGGUACUGGGUUCGACUCCCAGCGUUCGAG